rnacentral:rRNA from 1 species
ACGCGAAAGCCCCCUUCGGGGGGCAAGUAGAGUGGCGCACGGGUGAGUAACACGUAGGUAAUCUACCUUUGGAUGGGGAAUAACAACCGGAAACGGUUGCUAAUACCGCAUAAUGCAGCGGCACCUAAUGGUGACAGUUGUUAAAGCGGGGGAUCGCAAGACCUCGCGUCUGAAGAGGAGCCUGCGGCGGAUUAGCUAGUUGGUAAGGUAACGGCUUACCAAGGCUAUGAUCCGUAGCCGGCCUGAGAGGGCGGUCGGCCACACUGACACUGACAUACGGGUCAGACUCCUACGGGAGGCAGCAGUCGGGAAUUUUGGGCAAUGGGCGAAAGCCUGACCCAGCAACGCCGCGUGAAGGAUGAAAUCCUUCGGGAUGUAAACUUCGCAAGAACAGGAAGAAUAAGUCGGUGACAAUACCACCGACGAUGACGGUACUGUUUGUAAGCUCCGGCUAACUCCGUGCCAGCAGCCGCGGUAAUACGGGGGGAGCAAGCGUUG